rnacentral:piRNA from 1 species
UGGCCACAAAUUUCCACCUCUUAAAAUCCA